AAUGCAGAUAUAAGAAGCGACGAAAUUUUGAGUCGUGACAAAAGAGCGAGACCUAGAUGUAGACGUAAUAAAAGAUGUGUUACUACCAGAAACUGUUGUAAUUAUAGACAAUAUUGUAGCGGAGGACGAUGUAAGACCAGAAAUUUGGACAUUUUGUAGAGGCAGGGCAUGGCUUGUUCGUGUUCCCUACAAACAGAACCUCGCCAUAAUUUCACUUCUGGUGGAUCCGUUGUUUCACGAACAUGUCUUGCAUAACUCUUUGAUUAUAUAUUAAAAAUUUCAACCGUU